ACGUUGUUGGUUCAGUGGUAGAAUUCUCACCUUCCAUGCCAGAGACCUGGGUUCAAUUCCCAGUCAAUGUA
rnacentral:tRNA from 1 species